GGAAAUGAGGGUGAUCUGGCUGCAACAUCUGUGAUCGCAUUGAUCUCCAGGGUUGAUUCGGCUGAUCUGGUGGCUAGGCAGGUGUCCCCUUCCUCCCUCCCUGCUCCAGGUAUGUCCCUCCUGUCAGUCGAAGAGGACGACCUUCCCCGAUAGAGGAGGACCGUUCUUCAGUCAAGGGUAUACGAGUAGCUGCGCUCCCCUGCUAGAACCUCCAAACAAGCUCCCAAGGUCCAUUUGUAGGAGAACGUAGUGUAGUCAAGCUUCCAAGACUCCAGACACAUUCAAAUGAGGCGCUGCGUGCGGCAGUCUGCCUUUCUUU
rnacentral:snRNA from 1 species